rnacentral:rRNA from 1 species
GACGAACGCUGGCGGCGUGCUUAACACAUGCAAGUCGAACGGAAAGGCCUGCUUUCCCUUGUGGAUUGCGGGUACUCGAGUGGCGAACGGGUGAGUAACACGUGAGUGAUCUGCCCCCAACUUGGGUAUAAGCCUGGGAAACUGGGUCUAAUUCCCGAUAGGACUGCAGGGUGGUGCCUGUGGUGGAAAACGAUUUUCUAGUGGUUGGGGAUGAGCUCGCGGCCUAUCAGCUUGUUGGUGGGGUAAUGGCCUACCAAGGCGGCGACGGGUAGCCGGCCUGAGAGGGUGGACGGCCACAUUGGGACUGAGAUACGGCCCAGACGCCUGCGGGAGGCAGCAGUUGGGAAUAUUGCACAAUGGGCGGAAGCCUGAUGCAGCGACGCCGCGUGGGGGAUGACGGCCUUCGGGUUGUAAACUCCUUUCGACCGCGAGGAAGCCACCUGGUUGGAAGGGUGGUGACGGUAGUGGUAGAAGAAGCACCGGCUAACUACGUG